UUUUUUGCUAACAAAAAUUUCUUAAAUAUACAGUAUAUCUUACAACACAUGAAACGGACAUUUUCAAUGGCGAUCAAAUAAUAUAGAAAAAUUACUAUAAUGGUCCUCCAUAGAAAAAAAAUAGUCUUUAACGUAUAUGACCGGAUGCAACAAAUUGAAAGUAGCAAUGUCAAAGAAACCGCUCAAGCUCACAACAGCCUCUGAAAACGGAUUUUAAGGUCAAAUGAUGCAAAACAAGUGGUUCAAACAAGAGCUGUGAAUUCCAACCAAUGAAAUAGAUAGAAUCACACUUCGUGGAUAAGUUACCCAGAGGGACAAAGAAUUUAAAAUAAUUAGUUAGAACCUUUAAAUAAUGGCAUUUUCAUCUCUAAACGGAU